AUUGAACGCUGGCGGCAUGCUUUACACAUGCAAGUCGAACGGUAACAGGCCGCAAGGUGCUGACGAGUGGCGAACGGGGGAGUAAUGCAUCGGAACGUGCCCAGUCGUGGGGGAUAACUACUCGCAAGAGUAGCUAAUACCGCAUACGAUCUAUGGAUGAAAGCGGGGGACCGCAAGGCCUCGCGCGAUUGGAGCGGCCGAUGUCAGAUUAGGUAGUUGGUGGGGUAAAGGCUCACCAAGCCAACGAUCUGUAGCUGGUCUGAGAGGACGACCAGCCACACUGGGACUGAGACACGGCCCAGACUCCUACGGGAGGCAGCAGUGGGGAAUUUUGGACAAUGGGCGCAAGCCUGAUCCAGCAAUGCCGCGUGCAGGAAGAAGGCCUUCGGGUUGUAAACUGCUUUUGUACGGAACGAAACGGCUCUGGUUAAUACCCGGAGCUAAUGACGGUACCGUAAGAAUAAGCACCGGCUAACUACGUG
rnacentral:rRNA from 1 species